UGCUUAACACAUGCAAGUCGAACGCAACCUUCGGGUUGAGUGGCGGACGGGUGAGUAACGCGUGAGAAUCUGCCUUGGGGUCGGGGACAACCACUGGAAACGGUGGCUAAUACCGGAUAAGCCUUUGGGUAAAAAAUUUAUUGCCCCAAGAGGAGCUCGCGUCUGAUUAGCUAGUUGGUGAGGUAAGAGCUCACCAAGGCAGCGAUCAGUAGCUGGUCUGAGAGGACGAUCAGCCACACUGGGACUGAGACACGGCCCAGACUCCUACGGGAGGCAGCAGUGGGGAAUUUUCCGCAAUGGGCGAAAGCCUGACGGAGCAAGACCGCGUGAGGGAGGAAGGCUCUUGGGUUGUAAACCUCUUUUCUCAGGGAAGAAGCUCUGACGGUACCUGAGGAAUCAGCCUCGGCUAACUCCGUGCCAGCAGCCGCGGUAAUACGGAGGAGGCAAGCGUUAUCCGGAAUUAUUGGGCGUAAAGCGUCCGCAGGUGGCGAUUCAAGUCUGCUGUCAAAGCACGGGGCUUAACUCCGUUAAGGCAGUGGAAACUGAAUAGCUAGAGUGCCGUAGGGGUAGAGGGAAUUCCCGGUGUAGCGGUGAAAUGCGUAGAGAUCGGGAAGAACAUCGGUGGCGAAAGCGCUCUACUGGACGGCAACUGACACUCAGGGACGAAAGCUUGGGGAGUGAAUGGGAUUAGAUACCCCAGUAGUCCUAGCUGUAAACGAUGGAUACUAGGUGUAGCUUGUAUCGACCCGAGCUGUGCCAAAGCUAACGCGUUAAGUAUCCCGCCUGGGGAGUACGCACGCAAGUGUGAAACUCAAAGGAAU
rnacentral:rRNA from 1 species